GACUGCAUCUAGAGGAAGAGGAAACAAAGACCGGUUUCGAAACCCCCGUCUGCGCAGUCCGCCAAGCUCGGGCGGCCUUAGGCGUGCCUGUCCUGAAGUCCUCCCUUGGGGACGGAAUCCUGCCGCUAGCCUGGCUCUGCCCUCCAGAGACGUUCCAAGCAUGACCGAUGCAUCUGUGAGCUCUGCUGUGCAGUGUCCAGGUUUCACAAGCGCUGUCUCUGCAGCGUCAGGAGGGUGUUGAGAGAGCCGGCCAUGCGGCAUCGCCACCCCUCCAGUACCUGCUUCAGAGCUCCAGGUGGAAUGAACCUCAGCACACGCCCGAAACUUCCGGACGGUGGCUGCCCACCCACAUCUACCCACCGACGGGCCCCCACGGUCUUCCGUCUCCUGGGGUUUUCUUCCUAGGAAACCGCUGUCUAUGAUUUGGAACCACAAUUGCAGAGGAAAGUCACAGAAACAUGGCAGGAUUAUCUAAUUUGCUUGCCAAGGACAUGCUGCUCUUCUAAAAUCCUCUUGUAGUUUUCUGCAAGCCAGUCACAGCCAAAAUGUCAAAGUCCGUCUGAACAGUAUGAGAAGGACAGACCGGUGGGGACUUGAAGCUGUCCCUCUGGGCGGCCAGCUUUGUGGCGCUCUGAACAGGGCAAGGACUGAAAGUGUGAUUAGGACACAGGACCCGCUCUGAGCAGAGAUGCUCUGAGCUGUGCUUUCACAGGAGCGGGGCCUCUGAUCACAGAGGGACUCAGGCAGAUGGCUCCCGAGACGCAGCCAUAAUAAGGAACUGACUUCUAAUCAGCCAAGAAGUCACUGCCCACAGCGCACACGUAAUGCACUCCAGAUGCCGCUGGCACCGCCGGGUGCCAGGACUGAAGUGCACAUGAAUUUGGAUGGCAUCACCGACUCAAUGGACCUGAGUUUGAGCAAAUUCUGGGAGACAGUGAAGGACAGGGAAGCCAGCCAUGCUGGAGUCCACGGGGUCACAAAGAUUCGGAUACGACUUAGCGACUGAACAACAACCCAUGUGUCAGACGUGCCCAGCAGAAGUCCUGUUACUGCAGACAUGCACUUGGGAUAAGAAAUUACCUACUACAGCCAGCUUUCCUUCCCAACAUUUUAAGUGGGACU
rnacentral:lncRNA from 1 species